UGAUGACGAAUAGCAGCAGCAUCCAGACAGCAGAGCCCCGCGUGAAUGACACAUGGACGAUUCAGCAUAUUAAACCAAUAUAUCUGUCUAUAUAUUUACACUAUUGUUUAUGUCAUGUGGAUAAUGUAGAGUAGCUCGCUUCAUUAUCAUCCACAGCGGAGGCUAAUUACUAGCAAAACAGGAAACAAUUACGCGAUUUGCAUCUGUACAUCCAAUAUAAACACCAGCAUACAGCGACGCUAUCAUACAGUAUUACAGGCUGUGAUAGAGUAUAUUAGGCUUUUACAGUUGUCUGGGGAGAACAUGGAGAACUACGAUGAAUUCUGCGCACGGAUUGUGUCUAAACUGCAGACGGAAAUGAGGCGUAAAAAGAGCUGCAGUACCGCACCUGCGCGAGUGGUGGCGCACUCUCUCAUCUGCUUUCAUGGCAGGCCGGUUCUCUGUCCUGUUCUAAGUGAGAAACAAAGAAGAGAAAUGGCUAAAUACAAGAAAAGAGCAUCACAAGUGGAGGCAGGGCGACAGCUUCAUCAUAACAAUAACCUGCUCAAUCAGAUGCCAGCAA